rnacentral:rRNA from 1 species
UACUCCUACGGGAGGCAGCAGUGGGGAAUUUUGGACAAUGGGCGAAAGCCUGAUCCAGCAAUGCCGCGUGUGUGAAGAAGGCCUUCGGGUUGUAAGGCACUUUUGUCCGGAAAGAAAUCCUUGGCUCUAAUACAGUCGGGGGAUGACGGUACCGGAAGAAUAAGCACCGGCUAACUACGUGCCAGCAGCCGCGGUAAUACGUAGGGUGCAAGCGUUAAUCGGAAUUACUGGGCGUAAAGCGUGCGCAGGCGGUUUGCUAAGACCGAUGUGAAAUCCCCGGGCUCAACCUGGGAACUGCAUUGGUGACUGGCAGGCUAGAGUAUGGCAGAGGGGGGUAGAAUUCCACGUGUAGCAGUGAAAUGCGUAGAGAUGUGGAGGAAUACCGAUGGCGAAGGCAGCCCCCUGGGCCAAUACUGACGCUUAUGCACGAAAGCGUGGGGAGCAAACAGGAUUAGAUACCCUGGUAGUCCACGCCCUAAACGAUGUCAACUAGUUGUUGGGGAUUCAUUUCCUUAGUAACGUAGCUAACGCGUGAAGUUGACCGCCUGGGGAGUACGGUCGCAAGAUUAAAACUCAAAGGAAUUGACGGA